UGCGCAGGCGGACCGAUAAGUCAGUGGUGAAAUCCUACAGCUCAACUGUAGAACUGCCAUUGAUACUGUCGAUCUUGAGUAUAGUUGAAGUGGGCGGAAUGUAUCAUGUAGCGGUGAAAUGCAUAGAUAUGAUACAGAACUCCGAUAGCGAAGGCAGCUCACUAACCUAUAACUGACGCUCAGGCACGAAAGCGUGGGGAGCGAACAGGAUUAGAUACCCUGGUAGUCC
rnacentral:rRNA from 1 species